rnacentral:tRNA from 1 species
CGGAUGUAGUUUAGUGGUAGAACUUCAGCUUCCCAAGCUGACCGUGCGAGUUCGAUUCUCGUCAUCCG